rnacentral:lncRNA from 1 species
UUUCUCUAUAGCUCUCUUUCUCUCAGAUCUCUCUCACUACCUCUCCCACCGCCACCAUUAACCACCACCAACCACCCUUAGCCACUACCCUCCACCACUCUCCAAUAUCACCAUCACACUACGAUUCUCCUCGCUGAAACCCUAGCUGCGCCGCCGCCUUUAUCUCACCAUUACAGAUCGCUGAAACCCUAACCCCAAACAGACCCAGCUUGUUCCUCAUCAUCCCAUCCGAUGUCGUUCUCAAAUAGAGUAUCCGGUACACCUGAGCUCGUUCCUUAGUCAGAUCUGUGACCCACGAGUCCGGUUUAGAAACUUUCCGGCAAGGUGAAGGGUGCUUCGACGAUAGUGAUGGCGGUUGAAGUGGUUCGAUUACUAUCAUGGUGUCCAGAUGGGUUCAAGUGGAUAAUGUGGGAAAUGUUGUUGAUCAGGUUGCAUCGGUAUACCCACAAGUACCCAACCCACCAUGCCUCCAUUGACUCUAUCCAAACACUUUGAA